rnacentral:sRNA from 1 species
AAUACGCGGUGGCGCAGUAUUCUAGUCAGCCGCUUCGACUCCUAAGACGGGCCUAAAAAUCCGUAGAAAGGCACAUCGAUGAAGUCCCUGGUGUUUGCUUCUUACGCCCAGUUUGGGGUGGAUGCUGGGGGUUAAGGUUUUAGGAUGCUUCCCAAUGGCAUGGGAAUAUAGUUCCUAUUACCGUGGAGACCGGUUGCUGUAGAGAACCUAUACACCUUCGGGUUGAUGGAUUCUUUACGGGAUCGGAAUAAACCUGCAAUGCGGUGCGAAUGCAGCUCGACUGCAAAGACGCUGUGUGCAGCGUAGCCUGCCUUGCGUGAGUCUGGGGGAUCGGGUGUCCGCAGAUGCAUGGUCAUGGCCAUGAUCGUCUCCUGUAUUGACCCGUGAAACCUACCUUGCAAAAGAGGCUAAGAGUCGGACUGGCUGUCGCGGAAAUCGCCUAGACUGUCGUAACUGGGCAGACAGAGGAUUGCAGUACGGACUAAGUGGCAAUUCGGUACCGGAAUCGGUAACGACCCGGCACAGACCAUAAUGGGAAACCGCCAACUGGCAACGGUUGGUCGUCUCUGGGGAAAUCCAACCGAACCUCAAGCCGUAAGAUUUACUCUGUCUGCUGCCACCCUUGUAUAA